AAACAGUCAAAUCAACGCCAAGCAAACCUAAACUUAAUGACACUGAUUAAAGCUUAUAAUUAAACAAGAGAGACUUACAAGAAGAUUGUGUUUAAUAUGACUACAGAAUAGUGGGAAUCAUAAUGGAAGGAAGACAAAAUAAGAUGCAACGUACGGGUUUUAGCUACAAUAAUUAGUAAGAUUGAAGACUUCUUGACGAUGUUUAUAAUGUAUCCUAUAAAAUAUUCACUCACCAGAAUCGUCCAAAGAUUCAGGAGGGACAGAUAUCUACUCCAAACCUGGUAUCUGUUGCAGAUAUUCAAGAAAAUUAUAGGAAAACAAAUGUGAAUGACGGACAGAUUUAGCAAGAUGAAAGAUUUAAGCCUACAAGCACGCUACUGUUUCUCACAUCAAAGGUACAUUGUUAAUUAUGAACAUCAAUAGUAAAUAAAGCAGUUUUGGAGAAAAAUAGUAUGUUUCAUUAAUAAUACCCUGGUUGAUUAUUUUUAUUGAUAUCGUACAGCUCCAUCUAUUGGCAAG